rnacentral:rRNA from 1 species
CCUACGGGUGGCAGCAGUGGGGAAUAUUGCGCAAUGGAGGCAACCCUGACGCAGCGACGCCGCGUGAUGGAAGAAGGCCUUCGGAUUGUAAAGAGCUUUAAUCGGGGACGAAAUUUGACGGUACCCGAAGAAUAAGCUCCGGCUAACUACGUGCCAGCAGCCGCGGUAAUACGUAGGGAGCAAGCGUUAUCCGGAUUUAUUGGGUGUAAAGGGCGUGUAGGCGGGCAUGCAAGCUAGAAGUGAAAUCUGGGGGCUUAACCCCCGAACUGCUUUUGGAACUGCUUGCCUUGAGUACAGGAGAGGUGAGUGGAAUUCGUGGUGUAGCGGUGAAAUGCGUAGAUAUUAGGAAGAACACCGAUGGCGAAGGCAGAUCACUGGACUGCAACUGACACUGAGGCUCGAAAGUGUGGGGAGCAAACAGGAUUAGAUACCCGAGUAGUC